GACAGAGGAGCCAAGCGUUGUCCGGAUUGACUGGGCGUAAAGCGCACGCAGGCGGUCGCGCGCGUGGGGUGUGAAACUGGCGGCUUAACUGCCAGAGGCCAUCCCAUACGGCGUGACUCGAGCCAUGCAGAGGUCCACGGAAUUGCCGGUGUAGUGGUGAAAUGCGUAGAGAUCGGCAGGAACACCCAGGGGGAAACCAGUGGACUGGGCAUGUGCUGACGCUCAGGUGCGAAAGCGUGGGAGCGAACCGG
rnacentral:rRNA from 1 species